rnacentral:rRNA from 1 species
AUUUCAUAGGUAGCAGAACGUUUAUAAAUUGCAAUCGUAAGAGUUAUUGAUAUAAAUUGAAUAUGCAUACAUGAGUAACAACAAAAUUUAGUUAAAUGACCGUAAGCCUAAGGGUUUAGUCUAGUAGUGAAACAUAUAAUAUAAUAUAAUAUAAUAUAAUAUAAUAUAAUAU